GCUUGUCUCAAAGAUUAAGCCAUGCAUGUCUAAGUAUAAAUAAUUCUAUACUGUGAAACUGCGAAUGGCUCAUUAUAUCAGUUAUAGUUUAUUUGAUAGUCCCUUACUACUUGGAUAACCGUAGUAACUCUAGAGCUAAUACAUGCGCAAAUUCCCGACUGUCGCAAGGCGGACGGGUAGCAUUUAUUAGAUUGAAACCAAUGCAGCUUCGGCUGGUAUUGUGUUGAGUCAUAAUAACUGUGCGGAUCGCUUUUUAAGCGAUAAAUCGAUUGAGUUUCUGCCCUAUCAGCUUUGGAUGGUAGGAUAUGGGCCUACCAUGGCGUUAACGGGUAACGGGGAAUUAGGGUUUGAUUCCGGAGAGGGAGCCUUAGAAACGGCUACCACAUCCAAGGAAGGCAGCAGG
rnacentral:rRNA from 1 species